AUUGAACGCUGGCGGCAGGCCUAACACAUGCAAGUCGAGCGGAUGCAGGGAGCUUGCUCCUGGAUUCAGCGGCGGACGGGUGAGCAAUGCCUAGGAAUCUGCCUGGCAGCGGGGGAUAACGUCCGGAAACGGGCGCUAAUACCGCAUAAGUCCAGAGGGAGAACGUGGGGGAUCUUCGGACCUCACGCUAUCAGAUGAGCCUAGGUCGGAUUAGCUAGUUGGUGGGGUAAAGGCCUACCAAGGCGACGAUCCGUAACUGGUCUGAGAGGAUGAUCAGUCACACUGGAACUGAGACGCGGUCCAGACUCCUACGGGAGGCAGCAGUGGGGAAUAUUGGACAAUGGGCGAAAGCCUGAUCCAGCCAUGCCGCGUGUGUGAAGAAGGUCUUCGGAUUGUAAAGCACUUUUGGUUGGGAAGAAGGGCAGUAAGUUAAUACCUUGCUGUUUUGACGGUACCAACAGAAUAAGCACCGGCUAACUUCGUG
rnacentral:rRNA from 1 species